UCAAGUUUGAGGACGCGCAGGUGACCGGCGCAGACCGUGCGCACCCGGGCUUCUGUCUUGCCAUUGCCUGGAGGUUAAGAGGGGCAAGCUUCCGUAUGCAAACACGCCUUUCACCUGGUCCUCUUCCUUACGGGUUGCACACUUGCAGUGAGCUGCUGAGCUGUCCUUUCAAGGAUGUCCUGGAGAUGGUGUAGUCGCGAAGUCGCGUCCGACUUGUGAUCCCAUGGACUGAAGAUGGGUGAAAACUUUGUCACUGGACUGUAUAAUCUUGAAAUCUCCAGCUCUCAGCUGCUGCCCACCAAGACUUCACUGCCCCAUGGCCCAGGCACACAGACAUCUGUUCCUUUAUUCACUCACCACACAGCUUCUGCUCCCACUUGUGUGCUAGGUACUGUGCUAAAGGGCUCCUCACAGGACAAAGGUUACGUUCCUUUACAUGAAAUAUAAGAAAUGAAUAAAUGUUGACUUAAUUGCUGGUG